UGGGGUCUUCCUUAUUGUUAGGUGGUUUGAUUUGAGUUUGAGUUUCUGACGUUGAUAAACACUUAAGUUAUUAUAGACACACAAUUCUAUUUAAUUCUCUUUAUAUGAUUGAGAAUUUGAUAUUUCUUAGUCUAUUUUGUAGAUAAUUGGAGGAUUACGCUGAUCAAGAUUCAAACUAGUUCAAAUCCAAUAAAAUACUAAAGAUCUAAUGGGUCAAGUGUAAUCG
rnacentral:lncRNA from 1 species